ACUUGUAACUGUCAGUUUGAUUGGCUUGGGAGCCACCUACAAUAUUAGUAAAGUACACUUCUGGGUGUGUCUGGGUGGGCUAUGAAGGUGUGAUUUCAGGCACUAUAUCUGGUCUCUGGUCCUUUUUUCUCCAGUAUUGUUCUGCUGUGCUUCCCAGCUGCUAGGAACUAAGCAGCUUUCCUCUGCCAAGCCCCUCCACCGUGAUGUUCCUGCCUUGGAGCUUGCUGACCAGGGACUGAAUCUCUUGAAACUGUGAGCCAAAUUAAACCUCUCUUUUUUAAAAUUGUGAAUGUCAGCUAUUGCGUUCAAGAGAGGAAAAGAUGACUAAUACAGAAGGCUGGAUUCAGAUUUCAAAUUUUCACUCCUUGGACUUCUGCCCAGGAGCAUGGUGGAUGGAACCUUUCGACAGGUGACGGCGGGCUCCGUCACAGGUGGCGCCCGAACAGGGACCUGAAUAGGGGGCAAAUUUGCAGUGAAGGACGCCGCGGCUUGUGGAUCCGGUAAAGGGUUCCUGGCAGUCUUUACUUUGAUUCUCCAAGUUUGUACUUCUCCAGUUACUUCUGAGCUCACCUCAGGGUUGGAAUGGAGGAGGAAACGUGGAUCACACCUGUACUUCCUCACUCCACCUUCUGGGCCACCUGUUACUUCUGGGCAUUUUGUCUCCCAAAUGCACCCUGUCUCAGGUAAACACCCACAUCUUACAAUUACCUCUUCAGCCAACAAGGAUGUAUCUUUCUUUGUUCUGUCAAAUUUGUUAUUGCUUUUUCAUUUACUUCCCAUCCUUAAAGCUGUUCUAAAACUUCUGGCUGCCAUUGCCUUCUCUCUAGUUCAUAUUAUCUAGAUGCAUGUAAGAUUUAUUAAUCAUGUCUUGCAGUAUGGGCACAAUCUCUGCUGUUAUGUGAGAAAUUAUUUCUGAUUUCAUUUUUUCCAGAUCGUCUUUUGUUGCCAGUUCAGGGAAUCCAGGUGGUUGAGUAUCAGAUUGUUCCAUCUCAUUUCCCUUUGGAGUUGCUUUAGGUGAUCUGGAAGUCUGGUUUGAGGCUUGUUUACGUGUCUUCUCAUUUUUCAUGGAGGGGGUGGGUGCUGUUGGCACCGGCGCAGCUCACCUCUUCUGCACUGGGAGUGGUGCUAUGGUGGCCCAGGAGCCUCCUCCUAGGUGCUGGGAUUGGCUCACCUCCUCUGAUUUCAUUUACUUUUUAUCUCAUAGUAGUAUCAUGGAUUUAUUUUUCUUCUAGGUGGAGC
rnacentral:lncRNA from 1 species